rnacentral:rRNA from 1 species
UACGUAGGGUGCGAGCGUUAAUCGGAAUUACUGGGCGUAAAGCGUGCGCAGGCGGCUUGCCAAGUCAGAUGUGAAAGCCCCGGGCUCAACCCGGGAACGGCGUUUGAAACUGGCAGGCUAGAGUUUGGCAGAGGGGGGUGGAAUUCCACGUGUAGCAGUGAAAUGCGUAGAGAUGUGGAGGAACACCGAUGGCGAAGGCAGCCCCCUGGGCCAAAACUGACGCUCAGGCACGAAAGCGUGGGGAGCAAAAGGG